rnacentral:rRNA from 1 species
UGGGGAAUCUUGCGCAAUGGGCGAAAGCCUGACGCAGCGACGCCGCGUGAGUGAUGAAGGCCUUCGGGUUGUAAAGCUCUGUGGGGAGAGACGAAUAAGUGCGGGCUAAUACUCCGCAUGAUGACGGUAUCUCCUUAGCAAGCACCGGCUAACUCUGUGCCAGCAGCCGCGGUAAGACAGAGGGUGCAAACGUUGUUCGGAAUUACUGGGCGUAAAGAGAGUGUAGGCGGUUUCGUAAGUCAGGUGUGAAAGCCCCGGGCUCAACCCGGGAAGUGCACUUGAUACUGCGAGGCUAGAGUACUGGAGAGGUUGGUGGAAUUCUCGGUGUAGAGGUGAAAUUCGUAGAUAUCGAGAGGAACACCGGUGGCGAAGGCGGCCAACUGGACAGAUACUGACGCUGAGACUCGAAAGCGUGGGGAGCAAAC